rnacentral:rRNA from 1 species
AUAUCAAUAAGCGGAGGAAAAGAAACCAACCGGGAUUGCCUCAGUAACGGCGAGUGAAGCGGCAAGAGCUCAAAUUUGAAAUCUGGCCCCUUUGGGGUCCGAGUUGUAAUUUGCAGAGGAUGCUUCGGGUGCGGUCCCCGUCUAAGUGCCCUGGAACGGGCCGUCAUAGAGGGUGAGAAUCCCGUCUGGGAUGGGCGGCCGCGCCCGUGUGAAGCUCCUUCGACGAGUCGAGUUGUUUGGGAAUGCAGCUCUAAGUGGGUGGUAAAUUUCAUCUAAAGCUAAAUACUGGCCGGAGACCGAUAGCGCACAAGUAGAGUGAUCGAAAGAUGAAAAGCACUUUGAAAAGAGAGUUAAACAGCACGUGAAAUUGUUGAAAGGGAAGCGUUGUCCACCAGACUCGCCCGGGGGGGCUCAGCCGGCACUCGUGCCGGUGUACUCCUCCCCGGGCGGGCCAGCAUCGGUUUGGGCGGCUGGUGAAAGGCCCCGGGAAUGUAACACCCUCCGGGGUGCCUUAUAGCCCGGGGUGUCAUGCGGCCAGCCUGGACCGAGGCCCGCGCUUCGGCGAGGAUGCUGGCGUAAUGGUGGUCAACGGCCCGUCUUGAAACACGGACC